rnacentral:lncRNA from 1 species
CUUGACUACCGGCGCUUCUUCAUGUUUGUCGUCAAAAACAAAAAUGAAGAGACUUGCAGAAGUGUAAGCAGGAAUGGUAUUUUAUUGAACACCUGCUUUGUGCAACCACCAUUCUGUGCUCCAAGGAAAAGGUAGUGAGUGAAACAGACAAGGGCCCUGAUAUCUCCUGCAGGCAGGGAGUAAGGUAAAAGAGAUGGACAAAAACUAAAUGG